UACGGAGGGUGCGAGCGUUGUCCGGAAUCAUUGGGCGUAAAGGGCGCGUAGGUGGCCCAGCAAGCGUGCGGUGAAAGCUCGGGGCUCAACCCCGGGUCGGCCGUGCGAACUGCGGGGCUGGAGCACUGUAGAGGCAGGCGGAAUUCCGGGUGUAGCGGUGGAAUGCGUAGAGAUCCGGAAGAACACCGGUGGCGAAGGCGGGUCUCUGGGCCGAUACUGACGCUGAGGAGCGAAAGCGUGGGGAGCGAACAGG
rnacentral:rRNA from 1 species